rnacentral:rRNA from 1 species
UUUAAGAGGGUGCAAAGCGUUAUCCGCGAUUUAUUGGGGUUUAAAGGGUGCGCAGGCGGUCCUAUUAUGUCAGUGGUGAAAUCCCGGGGCUCAACUCCGGAACUGCCAUUGAUACUGAUAGUCUUGAGUUUGGUUGAAGUGCGCGGAAUGUAGCAUGUAGCGUUGAAAUGCAUAGAUAUGCUACAGAACACCAAUCGCGAAGGCAGCUCACUAAGCCAAAACUGACGCUCAUGCACGAAAGCGUGGGGAUCAAACAGGAUUAGAUACCCUGGUAGUCCACGCUGUAAACGAUGAUCACUCGUUGUUGGCGAUACACAGUCAGCGACCAAGCGAAAGCGAUAAGUGAUCCACCUGGGGAGUACGAUCGCAAGGUUGAAACUCAAAGGAAUUGACGGGGGCCCGCACAAGCGGUGGAGCAUGUGGUUUAAUUCGAUGAUACGCGAGGAACCUUACCUGGGCUCAAAUGUAAGUUGACAGAUCCUGAAAGGGAUUCUUCUUCGGACAAUUUACAAGGUGCUGCAUGGUUGUCGUCAGCUCGUGCCGUGAGGUGUCGGGUUAAGUCCCAUAACGAGCGCAACCCCUACCCUCAGUUGCCAGCAUGUAAUGAUGGGGACUCUGUGGGAACUGCCUACGCAAGUAGAGAGGAAGGUGGGGAUGACGUCAAAUCAGCACGGCCCUUACGUCCAGGGCUACACACGUGCUACAAUGGCCGGUACAGAGGGCAGCCACCUGGUGACAGGGAGCGAAUCUCUAAAGCCGGUCUCAGUUCGGAUCGAAGUCUGCAACCCGACUUCGUGAAGCUGGAAUCGCUAGUAAUCGCGCAUCAGCCAUGGCGCGGUGAAUACGUUCCCGGGCCU